rnacentral:rRNA from 1 species
AGCGAACGCUGGCGGCAGGCCUAACACAUGCAAGUCGAACGAACCCUUCGGGGUUAGUGGCGGACGGGUGAGUAACACGUGGGAACGUGCCUUUAGGUUCGGAAUAACUCAGGGAAACUUGUGCUAAUACCGAAUGUGCCCUUCGGGGGAAAGACUUAUCGCCUUUAGAGCGGCCCGCGUCUGAUUAGCUAGUUGGUGAGGUAAUGGCUCACCAAGGCUACGAUCAGUAGCUGGUCUGAGAGGAUGACCAGCCACAUUGGGACUGAGACACGGCCCAAACUCCUACGGGAGGCAGCAGUGGGGAAUCUUGCGCAAUGGGCGAAAGCCUGACGCAGCCAUGCCGCGUGGAUGAUGAAGGUCUUAGGAUUGUAAAAUUCUUUCACCGGGGACGAUAAUGACGGUACCCGGAGAAGAAGCCCCGGCUAACUUCGUGCCAGCCGCCGCUGUAACAC